UGGUCCAGGCUCCAAGCUGAGAGCACUUGC
rnacentral:piRNA from 1 species